GCCCGGUUAGCUCAAUCGGUAGAGCGUGAGACUCUUAUCACAAUUCAUCUCAAGGUUGCGGGUUCGACCCCCGCAUCGGGCU